rnacentral:misc_RNA from 1 species
AAGCAAAAGAAAUGGUGAGGGAAAUAGUUAUAGACGAGAUUGAGAGACAGAAAAUAUGGUAAUCUAGAAGAUCACUAUGCCUCAUUUUCUACCUUGAAAAUUUUAUCUGCUCCUUCAGUAAGAAAACCAUAUUCUUUAACUUCUUUCACUUGCAGUUAACACCCGCUUCAGCAGCUCGACGGGGCUUGCUUUUUCGCCUGCUUCCAUUGUGACGAAAUCCAUUUGAUCUGGUUGAUUCAUCAGUGCUUGAUCGUGUUCCGUCCCCAUUUUCGUCUUUGACCAGAUCGAGCUUUUCUUUCACUUGUGAGUUUCUUCUCCUCCUUUUCCCAUUCUCUGCUGCAGGUGGGCUUUUCAUCUCCUUACUCACAAUGUCAUUGCUUUUCAGGUUCUCACUAUCCUCGUCUUCAAUCUUUUCAACUUCUUCCUCAUCAAUCUCAUCCUUCAAUGGCUUCUGUGGCCUUCCCCUUCGCUUUUGUGCAGGAAUCUUCUCUUCCUCACCACUUCCAGCAUCAUCAUGAUUCGUGACGGUCAACUUCCUCCCCUUUCCUCGACCUCUACCCAUCCUCUUUAAGAACUCCAAUAACAAAAUAAUCACGCAACAGAUGGCCACUGAUAAGAAACGAAGCCCAUAUGAAUCAUU